CGCACUAAAUAUUUGAACACUCGCACUAAACGUUUGAACACUCACAAUAGAAAUUUUUCUAUGUUUAAUUCUGUGUGGUUUUUAAUUAUGAGUUAAAUCCCAAAAAAUACAAUUAAAAUUACCUCGUAUUUUCGCAUGUGCCUUUCUCCUCGAGCCGCCGCCUUUAAUUUAUAGAAAAACCUCAGAACCGGGAGGUGACAUAUUUUAUGAAUAUUAAAUAGAAAGGGCAUGUAGCAAAUAAUCUACAACGGUUAAAAACGUGAAAAAAUAUCAAACAUUUGCAAGAAUUUCGAACUAGCAUUCCACAAAUUCCACAAUGCACACACACAAUAUUCGAAGUGUCACACACAAUAUUCGAAGUGUCGCACACAAAACAUUCGAAAAAAUCUCGUUAAUUUAUGCAACUAUUCACAUAUUCUAUUCUAAUUUAUGUGACGAUUAAUUUAUACAUACGGAGGGAGGGAAAUAUAGUUAAGGAGCGGACCAUUUGAUUUUUGAGGGGGGGGUGGAAGAUUCAGUCUGUGCAAGAAUUUUUUUCCGCCCAGGCGAACAAGACAGAUAUUUUUUUCCUGUAAAAGUGCAGCGCAAGAUAUUUUUUUCCCAAUAUAUUUGGCCGCAGGAUAUUUUUU